UUCAGACACUGACCCACACCAGGUAGACAACAGCAGGUCCACUCAUCCAGAUCCAGUCCUCUCUCUUACAGAGGGUUCCCCAUCGGAGAGAAAGAGAGGGAGUCUAGGAAGACCGAGAGGAAACCGUUUGAGAGGAGUUGCCCAGCAGAGCUGUAUUUUCACUAUCAGUCUCUAAGCAACCAGUUGAAACCCUGGAGACCAGCAGCAAGAUGUUUUUUAGACUCCCAAGAUUAACUCCUGGGUACAUACGAUAUCUACAGACCCAGGCUGUGGCAAGUGAGACCCAGAGGGCUGGGGACCUGGCCAUGCCCCGUCUGGCCAUGUUCCUGGGGGCCUUGGGGAUUGGGGUGUGUGGCUACAGCUCCAGGCAGUUGGCACUGUACCACCGGCCCUCCGCUCGCGUGCUGACCUGGAUGGACGUCGGGAGCACCCCGGUGAAGGGGAGAGCCCCAUCCUUCAUGGACCUGUCUCAACGCCACACUGUCUGUCAGAACAUCCCGCCUCCGUCAUUUGCUGGGCAGAAAGUGCCUUAAAAACAACAAUCAAUCAAUAUGAAUCCCUCAGCAUGUAGUAUCUUUCUACCCAGGUAUGGUGGAGCUUUAGCUCCACUGUGCAAGCACUUUAGUGUUAACAGAAGUUGAACCCUAACCUAGUGAUCAAUAAUCUGAUAACCAAUGAUUACUAGCCUCACCUGUGUAAAAUUCUUCAUUGGCAUACAGUAUAUGAGCUGCUAUACCAGGUUAUGAAUUUGAGAUUACUGAUUCGAUGAGUAGUUCAACCUGUUGCUAUAGUAGCUUGGAAGAUUUAGCUGUGGCCGUCCAUCUGAAUAGCUACAUAUUGUGUGCCUGUGAAGGCUGGUAAAUUGUCACCAUGUUUGGCUCAGCCCCCUGGUACAGAUGGUUGGCAACCCCCGCUCCCUCGGGCAGAUUGCCAACCAUAAGGGCUGGGGAAGCUCAUCCACGUCCAACUACUUUCAUUGAUUUCAAUGAAUAAGAAACAGGAGGUGCCAUCCGUCACUAUAGCUUGGCAUGCACUGUCAGAUCCGGUCUGGACCAGAGUGAAAGACCGGUUAUUAUUUCACUGCAUUGUCAAACGAUAGCACUACAGUCGUCCUCUCUGAGGGUGUCAAUUCUCUUACAUAUUGAUACUGUAUGUAAUGAGGUACAUUGUACACUGUGAUGAGGGAUGUCCAAGGGUGUUUUGGGCGAUUUUUCAGAGACAGUCACUGAAGCAAGCUAGUGAUUCUUCCGGUUGUAUAGGAUGGACCAUACUCUCAAUAUGAUUUCUCACUUGAGGACUACAUCCAGACUGCAAUGCCAUGUAAAUAAUGCCACUUUAUUAAUACUGCUCAUUAGAUUACUGUUCCUAUUUUCAAAUCGAAUCACAUGUUAUUUGUCACAUGCGCCGAAUACAAUUGGUGUAGACUUUACCGUGAAAGGCUUGCUUUAUGACCCCUUCCCAACGAUGCAGAGUCUAAAAAAUAAUAAUACAAAAGAAAAAUAAGGAUAAAAUAGUAACAGAAGAAGAAUAUAAUAAAAUACACAAGAAUGGAACUACGGUAUAUCCAGGAAGUACCAGAUCAGUGUGCAGAGGCAUGAGGUAUUUGAGGUAGAUAUGUACAUGAAGGCAGGGUAAAGUAACCAGGCAACAGAAUAGAUAAUAAUAAGAGCAAAAUAAAUAACAGAGUAGCAGCAGCAAAUUACGAGUUUAAAGUGUGUGUGUUCGUGGGUGUGUAAUGUGUGUGUGUGUGUAUGUAGUGUAUGUGAAUGUGUGUGUUUUCUGUGGGAAUCUCAAUGUAGUGGUUGUGAGUCAGUGUGUAUCUUGUUUCUAUAGUCUAGGUGUGCGUAGGGUCAGUGCAAGAGAGUCAGUGCAGAAAGUUUGAGGACCAUGAAUUGACUAUUUAGCAGUCUUAUUGCUUUGGAGUAGAAGCCGGAGCCUGUUGGUCUGAGCCAAUGCUCUGGUACCGUUUUCCGGAUGGUAGCAGAGUGAACAGUUUAUGGCUUGUAUGGCUGGAGUCUUUGGCAAUUUUUCAGACCUUCCCUCUGACACUGCUUGAUAUAGAGGUCCUGGAUGGCAGGGAGCUCGGCCCCAGUGAUGUACUGAGCUGUUCUCAUCACCCUCUGUACCGCUUUGCGGUGGAAGGCGGUGUAUUUGCCAUACCAAGCGGUAAUUAGGCCAGUCCUGAUUGUUGUUGUUCCUCUUCCUGAGUGGGAAUGCCCUCUUCACGACUGUGUGGGUGUGUGUGGACCAUGUUAAGUCCUUAGUGAUGUGGACCAAGAAACUUGAAACUCGCGACCCGCUCCACUACAGCCAUGUCGAUGUGGAUGGGGGCAUGCUCUCCCCUCUUUCUCCUAUAGUCCACAAUCAGCUCCUUGGUCUUACUGACGUUGAGGGAGAGGUUGUUGUCCUGGCACCACACUGCUAAGUCUCUGACCUACUCCCUAUAGGCUGUCUCAUCGCCAUCGGUGAUCAGUCUUACCACCGUUGUGUCGUUAGCAAACUUGAUGGUGUUGGAGUCGUGCGUGGCCACACAGUUGUGGGGAGUACGGGACUAUGCCUCACCACCUGGGCCCGGCCCAUUGGGAAGUCCAGGAUCCAGUUGCCGAUGGAGAGGUUCAGUUCCAGGGUCCCUAGCUUGAUAAUGAGCUUGGAGGGGACUAUAGUACUGAACACUGUAGUCUAUGAACAGCAUUUUCACAUAAUUAUUUCCGCUCUUGUCCAGGUGUGAGAAGGCAUUGUGAAGUGCAAUUGAGAUGGCAUCACCUGUAGAUCUGCUGGGGCGGUAUGCAAAUUGGAGUGGGUCCAGAGUGUCUGGGAUGAUGGUGUUGAUGUGUGUCAUGACCAGCCUUUCAAAGCACUUCAUGAUUACAGAUGUGAGUGCUACAGGGCGAUAGUCAUUUAGGCAGUUUACCUAGGAGCUCUUGGUAACAGGACUGGGUGGUCAGCUUGAAACUGGUUGGGAUUGUGAUUUUUAACCUGUUUAAACGUUUGUCCUCACAUCGGCCUCAGAGAGCGAGAUCACACAGUCCUCGAAACGGCUGGGUUUUCCUUUGUAAUCCGUUAUCGUCUACAAGCCCUGCGACAUACGACGAGUGUCGGAGCCGGUGUAAUAGGAUUCUACCUUCCUCCUAUAUUGUCCUUUUGUACGUUUGAUGUCUUGUCGGAAGUCAUGUGUCCAUUUCCGUGUCCUGUUCCUUGUCAGCGGUAGCUCUAGUCUUUAGCCCAGUGAGGAUAUUGCCUGUAAUCCACGGUUUUUGGUUUGGGUACGUUCAUAUAGUCACGUUCGUAUAGUCUAAUGGUUAAAAUGAUGCUGGCAGAGACAGACAGACAGAGAGAGAGAGAGAGAGAGAGAGAGAGCAGGAUGACGAAGCUCCUAAUCACUAAGCCAAUUUCCUCCUGUAGGAUUUAACCAGGUGGAGUUGGCACAUCGCUCUAAUCUGGUAUUAGGGAUGAUGACCAAUGAAGACAGGAGACUGGUUCCCACUGUGAACAGAGGCUGGGUACCAAAGCGGUCAUAUUAUGGGAGAUGAUACAUUCAAAAUCACCAGCUAUUGUAAAGCCACUAAACGUCAAAUCAAUACUCUUGACCUUAAACAAAGAGGAGUGAUUUUUAAGGAGAGCAGGUACAGUAGAGGUCAGCAGAAUCUGAUCCCAUAAUCUUUUUCCACAGCAGCCGAGCCAGUUUCCGGAGUCUGCCAAGAUAUACGUUUUUAGCAGGACCAGAUUAGCUGUGCUAGCCCUGCCACUGCAUUGUAGGUCACUACAAAUGGCCCUAAUCCACUCAGCAGAUGUUCUAAUUGGCCAAGCUGGCGUCAGAGAGCGACCGGCAGUCCCCUCAACUCGGCUGAGACCGACACUCAUAAACAACUUGUCAAUGGACUGGCUAAUGAUCUUACACAGAAACAUGACAUGUCGAAACAGCACAAAACUCUAAUGCCUCCUGUUAGGUCACCCCCUAUUGCCCUCUAAAUAGAACAUGAUGUAUUCGAUACCUAUACCUUGUAAGGUAUUUCUGGGACAAAGAAAUUUGGCAAUUUUGCACUUUGGGCACUUUUUCCUUCUGUAAUUUAUCUUGUUUCUACAAAUGUGUCACUACUAUUUUAAGUUAUUACUGUUGACUAUUGUUGACCUUCACUACACCUGUUAUCUGUCUGUUAUAUCUACCUGUACAGUAGAAAGUCAAUAAAACGUUUUUCAAAAUGAUUGAC